CACGGAGGAUGCGAGCGUUAUCCGGAUUUAUUGGGUUUAAAGGGUGCGCAGGCGGUCUGUUAAGUCAGCGGUCAAAGCCCGGGGCUCAACCCCGGCCCGCCGUUGAAACUGGCAGUCUCGAGUUGGAGAGAAGUAUGCGGAAUGCGCGGUGUAGCGGUGAAAUGCAUAGAUAUCGCGCAGAACUCCGAUUGCGAAGGCAGCAUGCCGGCUCCACACUGACGCUGAGGCACGAAAGCGUGGGUAUCGAACAGG
rnacentral:rRNA from 1 species